rnacentral:lncRNA from 1 species
UAUUAUAUGUGAGAAAAUAAUUUAGAAGUCGCGCGGCUGCAAUACAUAAUUAUAAAUACCUAUUCCGAUUCCCCAUCUAUCUAUUACAUGUACUCUAUACUUUUUGGUCCCGUUUGGUUUGCGAGUAAAAUGAGGAUAACGAAAGUUCUCCCGCUAUUCUACCGAACGAGGUAUUAUUAGGGGUGGAAACGAGCCGAGCUCGAGCGAGCUUAUGUCAGCUCAAAUUCGGCUUGAAAUUAAUUUCGAGCCUAAAUCUAGGCUCAAGCUCGGCUUGAAAUUAAUUCGAGCCGAGCUCGAGCGAGCCUAAUUUCGAGUCGAGCCGAGCUCGAGCUCUAAACGAGCCGAUUGAAAUUCUCGACAUUAUAUAAUCAAUAGUUUAAUUUUUAUAGAACAUUACCUACAAUUUGAUGCAACAUGUCCAAUAGUUCAAAAUACAAAAUAAUUAUAAGAAAUAUGAGCUAGGGUGACUUCCUGACUAGAUGAGGGUCUGAGAGAGAGAGAGAGAGAGGAAAAAAAGUAGGGAUUUGAAAAUUUAAAUGUUAUCAUGUUUUAGGGUUAUGUGCAACAGUGAAAGUCUGAAAGAGAGAGUGUGUUAUGUAAAUUUAGAGUUUGGCUCAAUUGCACGGUCGUACUUGUUGGGUUUAUUUUAUGGGCCAACAAUAAUGGCCCAAAUUAAAUUAAAGCCUAUAUAUAAUUAAAAUACAUUAUAUAUAUAUAUAUAUAUAUAUAUUCGAGCUUUUCGAGCCUAAUUCGAACGAGCCGAGUAAUACUCAAGCUCGGCUUGAAAUGAAUUUCGAGCCUUUUAUUUUGUUCAAGCUCGGCUCAUUUAAUUUCGAGUCGAGCUCGAGCGAGCCGAAUAUCGAGCCGAACACGAGUCGAACGCGAGCCGGCUCGCUCGUUUGCUAGCCCUAGGUAUUAUUUGGUUGGGAUAAAAUAUUCCGAUCACACCUAACUAUUCCUGGUUAUUUAAGAAUAGCUUAGAAUAGACUAUUCCAUCCUUUUAGUGGAAUAGGGCUAUUCU